GCGUGGCUGGCUCAGUGGAUGGAGCGUGUGACUCUUGAUCUCAGAGUCGUGAGUUCAAGUCCCAUGUUAGAUG
rnacentral:tRNA from 1 species